GACGAACGCUGGCGGCGUGCCUAAUACAUGCAAGUAGAACGCACAGUUUAUACCGUAGCUUGCUACACCAUAGACUGUGAGUUGCGAACGGGUGAGUAACGCGUAGGUAACCUGCCUGGUAGCGUGGGAUAACUAUUGGAAACGAUAGCUAAUACCGCAUAAUAUUGAUUAUUGCAUGAUAAUUGAUUGAAAGAUGCUAUUGCAUCACUACCAGCUGGACCUGCGUUGUAUUAGCUAGUAGGUGAGGUAACGGCUCACCUAGGCGACGAUACAUAGCCGACCUGAGAGGGUGAUCGGCCACACUGGGACUGAGACACGGCCCAGACUCCUACGGGAGGCAGCAGUAGGGAAUCUUCGGCAAUGGACGAAAGUCUGACCGAGCAACGCCGCGUGAGUGAAGAAGGGUUUCGGAUCGGAAAGCUCUGUUGUAAGAGAAGAACGGGUGUGAGAGUGGAAAGUUCACACUGUGACGGUAUCUUACCAGAAAGGGACGGCUAACUACGUG
rnacentral:rRNA from 1 species